GACGAACGCUGGCGGCGUGCUUAACACAUGCAAGUCGAACGGAAAGGCCCUGCUUGCAGGGUACUCGAGUGGCGAACGGUGAGUAACACGUGGGUGAUCUGCCCUGCACUUCGGGAUAAGCCUGGGAAACUGGGUCUAAUACCGGAUAGGAGCCAUUUUUAGUGUGAUGGUUGGAAAGUUUUUUCGGUGUAGGAUGAGCUCGCGGCCUAUCAGCUUGUUGGUGGGGUAAUGGCCUACCAAGGCGGCGACGGGUAGCCGGCCUGAGAGGGUGGACGGCCACAUUGGGACUGAGAUACGGCCCAGACUCCUACGGGAGGCAGCAGUGGGGAAUAUUGCACAAUGGGCGCAAGCCUGAUGCAGCGACGCCGCGUGGGGGAUGACGGCC
rnacentral:rRNA from 1 species